rnacentral:snoRNA from 1 species
AGCCUAUGAUGGUUUAAGAGUAGUGGACAGAAAUCAUUUCUGACAAUAACAGACUGAGGCU